UAUAUGAUUAUAUUAUCAACAAUAAUAUGUAGAUAGUGACAAGAAAAAGCUAACAAAGUAUGAUGUUCUACUGUAGGUAGUGACAAGGCUAUUAUUACUGCCAAAAAAACAGAGAUAUUGUCUUUUAACCUGAGCAUAUUGCUGUUGUCUUUUAACCUGGGCAUGUUGCGCCAAAAAAAACAGAGAUGUUGUCUUUUAACCUGGGCAUCUUGCUCUUGUCUAAUAGUGCAGAUUAGAGAUUUGUUCAAUAAAUAUUAUCUUUACCAUACCAUUUUCUCUUCUAUACAGAAAGCAGUAAGAAUCUAAGAAAGCCGAAGCCUUCCAGCACACUGCAGCAAUAAGAAGAGCGCAAGUCGAACAGGGACACAGCUCACACACUACGGUGGACAGAAAGGUAUUUAACUGUUGGUACAAAGUUGGUUGGAGAUACCUCUGUCCUGUGAUGCUUUUUCAAUGUAGUUGGAGUUCAAGUUAAAGAUGCAUUCUGAGUAGUACUGUAAUAUGCAGGUAACUACAUUGCUGAAACAGUUGAUGAUGGCAAACCUAGGGCAUGAUGGUCACCGAACAAAGGUGGAUCUCCGUCCUUUGCAGCAACAGCCGUCGCCUCGCAACAGCCGUCGAGCGAAGGUUGUGGUUCGGACGCCGAGGUUGCGGUGCAGUUGUGCUGAUCGCACAGCUGGCCUCGCGUGUGAACAACGAUGUGGACUGACGGCUGACUGAAGUGCCGUUUCUCUUCUCGGCGCAUGCGCGGGUCGGGUCGAUGGAGCUGGUGCGUGAGGAAGAACUGGCGUCGAUGGAGCUCGUAUGCGAGGAAGAACCGGCGUUUCUGUCCCUGGUGGCGACGUGCGUUGGCGGGUCGAUGGAGCUAGUUCGAUGGUUUGAUUUUUGGUCGAUGGACCUCGUUCGUGGGUUGCCGAACUGUUUUGUUUGUUGGCUGGGCAUGUGAUCGUGGGGUUUGGCUCGUUUGACGGUGGUCCAUGGGCUGAAUAUCGGAUGAGUUGCCCUUGAUUUUUUGGGCUUGCGGGCUGGAUUUUGUGUGGAGGUGUGGGACACCGCGCGAUGGCUGUCUUACAGGCGGAGGAUCGAACGAGGUGGUCGAACCACGAGGAGAGGUCGAACCAACACGACGUUCGAUCCCCUUUAAUAGUAGAGAUACUCGAGAUAAAACAUAAACCCAGAUCAAAGCUGUUGUUCA
rnacentral:lncRNA from 1 species